ACUGCUGUUGCUGAUGACCGUUCCCUCCAUUGCCUGUUGACAGUCUAUACAUGGAAGAAGUGCACGUUAAGUUUGGAGAGGAAUUAUGCUUCACUGUUGGAGGUCAGCAUAUUCCUUUUGGUGCAUCACCACAGAAUAUCUGGACUGAACUUGGACCUCCUUGUAGAAUCUAUCAGAAGCAAAUAAUUCUACUGUUCAGAUAUCUUUUCUUGUGUUUUGCUAUUCUGAACUCCUUAGUACUACUUUAUAGGGACUAGUAUUUAGAAAGAUUUUAAUUCUUAACCACUCUGCUUAAUACAUUGUUUAAGUUUUGGUGGAAAGAUAAAAUUGGGGCAUAACUAAUAGUU